UACGUAGGGCGCAAGCGUUGUCCGGAAUUAUUGGGUGUAAAGAGCUCGUAGGCGGUUUGUCGCGUCUGCCGUGAAAACCCGAGGCUUAACCUCGUGGCUUGCGGUGGAUACGGGCAGACUGGAGUGCGGUAGGGGAGAUUGGAAUUCCUGGUGUAGCGGUGGAAUGCGCAGAUAUCAGGAGGAACACCGAUGGCGAAGGCAGAUCUCUGGCCGUAACUGACGCUGAGGAGCGAAAGCAUGGGGAGCGAACAGG
rnacentral:rRNA from 1 species